CCUACGGGUGGCUGCAGUGAGGAAUAUUGGUCAAUGGACGGAAGUCUGAACCAGCCAUGCCGCGUGCAUGAAGACGGCUCUAUGAGUUGUAAACUGCUUUUGUACAAGGGUAAACAUGAAUACGUGUAUUCAGCUGAAAGUACUGUACGAAUAAGGAUCGUCUAACUCCGUGCCAGCAGACGAGGUAAUACGGAGGAUGCAAGCGUUAUCCGGAUUUAUUGGGUUUAAAGGGUGCUUAGGCGGAUUGUUAAGUUAGAGGUGAAAUGUCCGGGCUUAACUCGGGAACAGCAUCUAAUACUGGGGAGCUAGAGAGUAGAUGAGGGAGGCGGAAUGUAUGGUGUAGCGGUGAAAUGCUUAGAGAUCAUACAGAACACCGAUUGCGAAGGCAGCUUACCAAUCUAUAACUGACGUUGAGGCACGAAAGCGUGGGGAGCAAACAGGAUUAGAUACCCGAGUAGUC
rnacentral:rRNA from 1 species